rnacentral:rRNA from 1 species
UACGUAGGGUGCGAGCGUUGUCCGGAAUCAUUGGGCGUAAAGCGCGCGUAGGCGGCCCGGUAAGUCCGUUGUGAAAGUCAAAGGCUCAACCUUUGAACGCCGAUGGAUACUGCCGGGCUAGAGUCCGGAAGAGGCGAGUGGAAUUCCUGGUGUAGCGGUGGAAUGCGCAGAUAUCAGGAGGAACACCAAUAGCGAAGGCAGCUCGCUGGGACGGUACUGACGCUGAGGCGCGAAAGCGUGGGGAGCGAACAGG